GACAGAGGUUGCAAACGUUGUUCGGAAUUACUGGGCAUAAAGCGCACGUAGGCGGUCCGCUAAGUCAGGUGUGAAAUCCCCCGGCUCAACCGGGGAAUUGCGUCUGAUACUGGCGGGCUCGAGAUCGGUAGGGGUGAGCGGAACUCCAGGUGGAGCGGUGAAAUGCGUAGAUAUCUGGAGGAACACCGGUGGCGAAAGCGGCUCACUGGAUCGACACUGACGCUGAGGUGCGAAAGCUAGGGUAGCAAACGGG
rnacentral:rRNA from 1 species